rnacentral:rRNA from 1 species
UACAGAGGUCCCAAGCGUUGUUCGGAUUCAUUGGGCGUAAAGGGUGCGUAGGUGGCGCCGUAAGUCGGGUGUGAAAUUUCGGAGCUUAACUCCGAAACUGCAUUCGAUACUGCGGUGCUUGAGGACUGGAGAGGAGACUGGAAUUCACGGUGUAGCAGUGAAAUGCGUAGAUAUCGUGAGGAAGACCAGUGGCGAAGGCGGAUCUCUGGGCCGAUACUGACGCUGAGGAGCGAAAGCGUGGGGAGCGAACAGG